UGCAGUCGAACGGCAGCAUGAUCUAGCUUGCUAGAUUGAUGGCGAGUGGCGAACGGGUGAGUAAUACAUCGGAACGUGCCCUGUAGUGGGGGAUAACUAGUCGAAAGAUUAGCUAAUACCGCAUACGACCUGAGGGUGAAAGUGGGGGACCGCAAGGCCUCAUGCUAUAGGAGCGGCCGAUGUCUGAUUAGCUAGUUGGUGGGGUAAAGGCCCACCAAGGCGACGAUCAGUAGCUGGUCUGAGAGGACGAUCAGCCACACUGGGACUGAGACACGGCCCAGACUCCUACGGGAGGCAGCAGUGGGGAAUUUUGGACAAUGGGGGCAACCCUGAUCCAGCAAUGCCGCGUGUGUGAAGAAGGCCUUCGGGUUGUAAAGCACUUUUGUCCGGAAAGAAAUCGCACUUACUAAUAUUAGGUGUGGAUGACGGUACCGGAAGAAUAAGGACCGGCUAACUACGUGCCAGCAGCCGCGGUAAUACGUAGGGUCCAAGCGUUAAUCGGAAUUACUGGGCGUAAAGCGUGCGCAGGCGGUUGUGCAAGACCGAUGUGAAAUCCCCGGGCUUAACCUGGGAAUUGCAUUGGUGACUGCACGGCUAGAGUGUGUCAGAGGGGGGUAGAAUUCCACGUGUAGCAGUGAAAUGCGUAGAGAUGUGGAGGAAUACCGAUGGCGAAGGCAGCCCCCUGGGAUAACACUGACGCUCAUGCACGAAAGCGUGGGGAGCAAACAGGAUUAGAUACCCUGGUAGUCCACGCCCUAAACGAUGUCAACUAGUUGUUGGGGAUUCAUUUCCUUAGUAACGUAGCUAACGCGUGAAGUUGACCGCCUGGGGAGUACGGUCGCAAGAUUAAAACUCAAAGGAAUUGACGGGGACCCGCACAAGCGGUGGAUGAUGUGGAUUAAUUCGAUGCAACGCGAAAAACCUUACCUACCCUUGACAUGCCACUAACGAAGCAGA
rnacentral:rRNA from 1 species